GUAGAUGCCUGAAGCCUUCUGAUGUGUUCUUUCCACUGGAGAAGCAAUGGAUGGCAGGUUGGACUAAUGAUGGCAUGGGUAUCAUUGUUCUCCAACGAAAAAUGCAGUUAGUAACAGCAAGAAUGAAAUCACAAAUUGAAGACACUCAGUAUGGAAAUGAGAUCACAGUUUGGUGGAAUCCUCCAGUUUUGCAGACUUACGCUGAGGCCAAGACUGUAAACAGAUCUGGGUUAAAGAAAGCAAGUGGAAUAAAC